rnacentral:rRNA from 1 species
GAUAAACGCUGGCGGCGCACAUAAGACAUGCAAGUCGAACGGACUUAACUCAUUCUUUUAGAUUGAGAGCGGUUAGUGGCGGACUGGUGAGUAACACGUAAGAAACCUGCCUUUCAGUGGGGGACAACAGUUGGAAACGACUGCUAAUACCGCAUAAUGUUAUUGGGGGCAUCCCUGAAUAACCAAAGCUUAAUGUGCUGAAAGAUGGUCUCGCGUCUGAUUAGCUGGUUGGUGAGGUAACGGCUCACCAAGGCGACGAUCAGUAGCCGGUCUGAGAGGAUGAACGGCCACAUUGGGACUGAGAUACGGCCCAG